rnacentral:lncRNA from 1 species
UCACAUUCAUUUAAUUUUAAAAUAAUUAAUAAAUCACGCGAACCAUACGUGUCAUGUUAAAACAUAUGUGUCAUGCCAUGCUUAAACAAAAUUUAUUCCACAUGCAACGGGACAGAUUACUUCAGUAGAACUCUAAUCCCAACUCUAAAAUCUCGAUUAUUUCAACACUUAUGUCUCAACUAACCUCAACUCUAUCAUCUCAAACCUCUCAUUCCAAUAGGACUGGCGCCCAGAGAGCAAAGCUCGACCAGGGACCUUACCUCCAGUCCGGUCACUUAACUCUCAGCCUUAGCCUUUUGGCUCUCUUAUCCAAUAAGACUGGCGCCCCGAGAGCAAAGCUCGACCAGGGACCUUACCUCCAGUCUGGUCACUUAAGUAUCCAAAUAAGAAAUC